rnacentral:rRNA from 1 species
CCUACGGGAGGCAGCAGUGGGGCAUAUUGCUCAAUGGGGGAAACCCUGAUCCAGCCACGCCGCGUGAGUGAAGAAGUUUUUCGGUAUGUAAAGCUCUUUCUGUCGGGAAGCAGAAAGACGGUACCUGACUAAGAAGCCCCGGCUAACUACGUGCCAGCAGCCGCGGUAAUACGCAGGGGGCAGGCGUUAUCCGGGUUUACUGGGUGUAAAGGGAGGUUAGAGGGGUAAGCGAGUCUGAGGUGAAAGCCCGGGGGUUAAACGCGGACGUGCUGUGGAAACUGUUUAGCUUGAGUACUGGAGAGGCAGGCGGAAUGCGUAGUGUAGCGGUGAAAUGCAUAGAUAUUAGGAAGAACACCAGUGGCGAAGGCAGCCUACUGGACCGCAACUGACGUUGAGGCUCGAAAGCGUGGGUAGCGAACAGGAUUAGAUACCCUUGUAGUC